ensembl:snoRNA SNORD24 Small nucleolar RNA SNORD24
UGCAGAUGAUGCCAACUAAUAUUUGCUAUCUGACUAGCAGUGAUUACACACUUUCCACCAAGAUCGCUGAUGCA